AGCAGCCGCGGUAAUUCCAGCUCCAAUAGCGUAUAUUAAAGUUGUUGCAGUUAAAAAGCUCGUAGUUGAACUUCAGGCCUGGCUGGAUGGUCCGCCUUCUGGGUGAGUACUGUCUGUGGUCGGGUCCUACCUUCUGGCGAAGCGUCAUGGCCUUAACCGGCCGUGGCGGGGAGCCAGGACUUUUACUGUGAAAAAAUUAGAGUGUUCAAAGCAGGCACGCGCCUUGAAUACAUUAGCAUGGAAUAAUGGAAUAGGACAGUGGUUCUAUUUGUUGGUUUCUAGGACCGUUGUAA
rnacentral:rRNA from 1 species